rnacentral:rRNA from 1 species
UACGGAGGGGGCUAGCGCUGUUCGGAAUUACUGGGCGUAAAGCGCGCGUAGGCGGACCUGCAAGUCGGGGGUGAAAGCCCGAGGCUCAACCUCGGAACUGCCUUCGAUACUGCGGGUCUCGAGUCCGGGAGAGGUGAGUGGAAUUCCUAGUGUAGAGGUGAAAUUCGUAGAUAUUAGGAAGAACACCAGUGGCGGAAAGGCGGCUCACUGGCCCGGUACUGACGCUGAGGCGCGAAAGCGUGGGGAGCAAACAGGAU